UUAAUAUACACGAAGUACUUAGAACAAUGCCUAGCACAUAGUAAGCAACUAAUAGAAGUAAACUAUUAUCAGUUGGAAGAGGUAAAUAGAUACAACAAGUUUAUAGGCAACUCAUACAUACAGGGCAGAGUAUGUUAGGACCCUAUGUAUGGCCCAAGAUAUGAUGGGAAUUUUUCAGAAAAAGAAAUCAUAUUGGGUUAGAGAGAGCAGGAAGGCUUCAUGAAGAAGGGGAUGGGAGGAUUUGGGGAUGGGAAGAUUUUGACAUCAGAAAAAGAGGUUUGGGGUAGAAGGGAUGGACUUCCAGAAAGAAGAAAUGACACAUAUUCUGUUUGCUUUGAGUGCUUCAAAAAGAGGAAAUCUUAGAGGACUAGCAGGAGAUAGAGCAGGGCUGAUUAGUUGGCAUUGUUCUAUUUUGUUUUGUUUUUGAGACACAGCCUUGCUCUGUUAUCCAGGCUGGAGUGCAGUGACGUGAUCUUGGCUCACUGAAACCUCCACCUCCCAAGUUCAAAUGAUUCUCCUCCCUCACUCAGCCUCCUGAUUAUCUGGGAUUACAGGCGCUCGCCACCACACCAGGCUAAUUUUUGUAUUUUUAGUAGAGACGGGGUUUCACUAUGUUGACCAGGCUGGUUUCAAACACCAGACCUCAAGUGAUCCACCUGCCGCGGCCUCCCAAAGUGCCGAGAUUGCAGGCAUGAGCCACCAUGACCAGCCUGAUCAUUUGACCUGUAUCUUGAAGAUCUUUGGAUAAUAUGUUUAUAUUAUUUCAUUGGCUAUAUAGGAAGACUGGCAGUUUUUAAAAGAGGAACAACGCAAUGAGUUUUGCUGAGAGAAUAUGAUUAAAUAAACUCAAAUCCACAACAUCAUAGGAAAAGAUGCCUCAAAAUGUAUACCUUCUAUUUGUAAGCCCAUGUUUACAGCAGUACUAUUCACAAUGACCGAGAUGUGGAAGCAAUCCAAAUGCCCAUCGAUGGAUGAAUGGAUAAGCAAAAUAUGGUAUACAUGUAAAAAGGAUGCAUGUAUUUCUCAGCCUUACAAAGGAAGGAAAUCCUGUCAUAUGAUACAACAUGGAUGAACCUUGAGAACAUUAUGCUAAGUGAAAUAAGCUGUCACACAAACAAGAAAAGCAAAUACUGCAUGAUUCUGCUUAUAUGAGGAAAAACCUCCAUACCUUGGAUUCUAGAUCCCUGGGUCCCCUUACCCCAGGAGGGCACUAAUAGCUUACUCAGUGGUAUUGAGGCUGUCCAGCAGACCAUCCCACUUUGAUUUGGAAGAUCAGUGCCUAUGCAAGAGGAAAAGCAUGCAAUUGGGAAUAGGACAGAGGGUUUCCAGAGAGGAGGAACACCCAGGACAAAGGAGGGGUAACACGAAUUCCUGAGAACUGACCACCAAGUUCAUGACUUUUGGAGCCCAGACCAAAAGUCUUCUAGGGCCCAAGCUUGGGACAGAAGGAGUGGAUGCCACCAUCAGAGGAUGCCUGUUACCUCAAGGUAUGUCCAAGUAUGAGUAGGCCUGGGCACAAAGCCAGGUAAGCAGGACCUGCUUCAGGUGGGCAAGGUUACUGGAUCGCCUCAAGGAGAGGAUUCCCCAAGGCCCUGGUCAACAGGGCUGCUUUAAAAUUGUUGUAAUACCCAAGGACUUACUUUAGGAUACCCUACCCCACAUCAUAUAAAACGUAUUGAAAUGUACCAUGUCCCAG
rnacentral:lncRNA from 1 species